CCGCUCCCGAGGCCGCCGCCGCCCUCUCCCUCCGGAAACGCAUUCCUCUCCCGCCGCGUCAGCCCGGCCCGGGGCUAGGAGGAGGCGGAGGAUGGGGCAGGAAGUGCGACCGGGACAAAGGAACCGGCUGCGCGGGAGCGCGCCUGAGGGAGGCCGCGGGGGGCAGGGCCGGGACUGCGUUGAGACAGUCGCCGUGCCUCAGUUUCCUCCUCUGCGAAGGGCGGGAGGAGUCGGACGCGCCCUAGAGCCCCGCGCGUUCCUGGUGUAGCCUGCUGGGCCCGUGUUCUUUAAGUUCCUCUUCCUCGGAGCCGCGCGUUCGACCCUCGCUCCCGUUUGUCCACUGAUGUCCCGUUUCGAGCCCGGGAGAUCCUGCAUCUCGGAAGCCCCCUGAGUCCCGAGGCAAAUCGGGACCGUGAGCCCCCCUACCCUGCAGGGCUCCAUGGGGCCAAAAACCACGUGGUCCUUCUGGAAGGGAACUGGCUAAGCCAGGACUGCUUUUCUGGAGUGAUAAUGUGCUUGCCUGUGUCUAAGAGAAAGGUGAAGAAUUGGGAAACCCAUGGGUGUCACGAAGGGUGGUGAGACUGGGGAACGUUUUAGAAAACCUGGUGAGUUGCGUCCUGCUUUUGAUAGAUUUAUCUGGAGGUACCUUUAUGGGGAACAGGGAUGAGAAGGAAAAGUUUCUUCCUAAGGAGUACAGUUUCUGUUUCACCUCUUAAAAAAAAAAAAUUUGGAGAUUGGGGCUGGAAACAACGUUUGAAAGAGAAGGAAACAUUCAUUAUGAGAAUGGCUGAACGCAUGUCGAUUCGAUGAUUGAAGUCUGUACCAGCCAAAAUCAUACUGAAACCCAGUAAUUUAGUAUAUGCUACUGGCAAGCUGCUAUCCUGGUAGCAGAAAAUGCUGUGGGUUCCGCUUGGUGAGCUGCAGCACCCUGUUGGGAAAAGAGCUCAAAAAUUACCAGAUUUAUGAAAUAGAAGUGUUUCUCUUGCAGGAGAUUAGGGACUGGAAUGCCCAUUUGGCUGCUGCCAAUCAAUAUAAGAGAAAAUGAAGCGAUCACAUCUAAGAAAAUUUGCUCAUUACUUACCAGCAAAAUCAAAACUUGAUUAGCCAAUCUGAAGACCUCUAGGAAAUGAGCACUAUUUUUCCCACUUAAUGGAUGUUCAAGCUUAAGAGGCUAAAUGAUGUUCCUAUAUUAAUAUCUCAAUGGUCAAACUGCCAUUAGAACUCAACAUUCUUGAAUUUUAAAGGUAUCGGUUUUACCAUUGUUCAGAAUUCAUCAGAAUUGGCCCAGUCUCAGCACAGAAAACUGUAUAGUUCAAAAGCAUAAUUGGUCCGUGCCUGAUUUGCACUACAAUUUCCAGAAUUUUUUUCCCUGUACGUGACUGGUGGAGGCACUAGCUAGUCUUUGCUACAAGAACAUUAUGAGAUUUACAUAUGCACAACUCUAAACUAAAUUAGUUCCUCCAGGACAAUUUACUGAGCUUUUUAACACCACCGUCAAGCACUGUUGCAAGGACAGAUAAUAGGGGCUCAGAUAAUAUCUGAUAAAUGAAUAAAUGGGUCCUUUUGCUCUCCCAGGACUGGGCUAGAGCACUUGACUAAACUGAUGUGUGAGGUAGCAAUUUGUGUACAGAAGUCA
rnacentral:lncRNA from 1 species